rnacentral:hammerhead_ribozyme from 1 species
GCACUACUGAGGAGUCCCAUACUAAGACGAAACGGCCGUCCAGUGA